rnacentral:rRNA from 1 species
UACGAAGGGGGCUAGCGUUGCUCGGAAUCACUGGGCGUAAGGCGCACGUAGGCGGAUUUCUAAGUCAGGGGUGAAAUCCUGGAACUCAACUCCAGAACUGCCUUUGAUACUGGGAAUCUUCGAGUCCGGGAGAGGUGAGUGGAACUGCGAGUGUAGAGGUGAAAUUCGUAGAUAUUCGCAAGAACACCAGUGGCGAAGGCGGCUCACUGGCCCGAUACUGACGCUGGGGCACGAAAGCGUGGGGAGCAAACAGG